rnacentral:rRNA from 1 species
ACGCUGGCGGCGUGCUUAACACAUGCAAGUCGAACGGAAAGGCCCUGCUUUUGUGGGGUGCUCGAGUGGCGAACGGGUGAGUAACACGUGAGUAACCUGCCCUUGACUUUGGGAUAACUUCAGGAAACUGGGGCUAAUACCGGAUAGGAGCUCCUGCUGCAUGGUGGGGGUUGGAAAGUUUCGGCGGUUGGGGAUGGACUCGCGGCUUAUCAGCUUGUUGGUGGGGUAGUGGCUUACCAAGGCUUUGACGGGUAGCCGGCCUGAGAGGGUGACCGGCCACAUUGGGACUGAGAUACGGCCCAGACUCCUACGGGAGGCAGCAGUGGGGAAUAUUGCACAAUGGGCGGAAGCCUGAUGCAGCAACGCCGCGUGCGGGAUGACGGCCUUCGGGUUGUAAACCGCUUUCGCCUGUGACGAAGCGUGAGUGACGGUAAUGGGUAAAGAAGCACCGGCUAACUACGUGCCAGCAGCCGCGGUGAUACGUAGGGUGCGAGCGUUGUCCGGAUUUAUUGGGCGUAAAGGGCUCGUAGGUGGUUGAUCGCGUCGGAAGUGUAAUCUUGGGGCUUAACCCUGAGCGUGCUUUCGAUACGGGUUGACUUGAGGAAGGUAGGGGAGAAUGGAAUUCCUGGUGGAGCGGUGGAAUGCGCAGAUAUCAGGAGGAACACCAGUGGCGAAGGCGGUCCUCUGGGCCUUUCCUGACGCUGAGGAGCGAAAGCGUGGGGAGCGAACAGGCUUAGAUACCCUGGUAGUCCACGCUGUAAACGGUGGGUACUAGGUGUGGGGUCCAUUCCACGGGUUCCGUGCCGUAGCUAACGCUUUAAGUACCCCGCCUGGGGAGUACGGCCGCAAGGCUAAAACUCAAAGGAAUUGACGGGGCCCCGCACAAGCGGCGGAGCAUGCGGAUUAAUUCGAUGCAACGCGUAGAACCUUACCUGGGUUUGACAUGGAUCGGGAGUGCUCAGAGAUGGGUGUGCCUCUUUUGGGGUCGGUUCACAGGUGGUGCAUGCCUGUCGUCAGCUCGUGUCGUGAGAUGUUGGGUUAAGUCCCGCAACGAGCGCAACCCUUGUUCACUGUUGCCAGCACGUUAUGGUGGGGACUCAGUGGAGACCGCCGGGGUCAACUCGGAGGAAGGUGGGGAUGACGUCAAGUCCUCAUGCCCCUUAUGUCCAGGGCUUCACGCAUGCUACAAUGGCUGGUACAGAGAGUGGCGAGCCUGUGAGGGUGAGCGAAUCUCGGAAAGCCGGUCUCAGUUCGGAUUGGGGUCUGCAACUCGACCUCAUGAAGUCGGAGUCGCUAGUAAUCGCAGAUCAGCAACGCUGCGGUGAAUACGUUCCCGGGGCUUGUACACACCGCCCGUCAAGUCAUGAAAGUUGGUGACACCCGAAGCCAAUGGCCUAACCGUUGUGGGGGAGCCGUCGAAGG